AUGGGGGGACCAUCCUCCAAGGCUAAAUACUCGUUGUCGACCGAUAGUGAACCAGUACCGUGAGGGAAAGGCGAAAAGAACCCUGGUGAAGGGAGUGAAAUAGAACCUGAAACCGUGUGCAUACAAGCAGUCAGAGCCGGUGAAGACCGGUGAUGGCGUACCUUUUGUAUAAUGGGUCAGCGAGUUACAUUUAGUGGCGAGGUUAACCGGAUAGGGGAGCCGUAGCGAAAGCGAGUCUUAAUAGGGCGAAUAGUCGCUGGAUGUAGACCCGAAACCGGGCGAUCUAUCCAUGGGCAGGUUGAAGGUUGAGUAACAUCAACUGGAGGACCGAACCCACGCAUGUUGAAAAAUGCGGGGAUGACCUGUGGAUAGGAGUGAAAGGCUAAACAAGCUCGGAGAUAGCUGGUUCUCCCCGAAAACUAUUGAGGUAGUGCCUUGUAGAUUGACUUACGGGGGUAGAGCACUGUUUCGGCUAGGGGGUCAUACCGACUUACCAACCCGAUGCAAACUCCGAAUACCGUGAAGUAUUACUACAGGAGACACACGGCGGGUGCUAACGUCCGUCGUGAAAAGGGAAACAACCCAGACCGCCAGCUAAGGUCCCUAAAUGACAGUUAAGUGGGAAACGAAGUGGGAAGGCUUAGACAGCUAGGAGGUUGGCUUAGAAGCAGCCAUCCUUUAAAGAAAGCGUAAUAGCUCACUAGUCGAGUCGUCCUGCGCGGAAGAUUUACCGGGGCUAAACUGUCUACCGAAGCUGCGGAUUUGCAUGCAAAUGCAAGUGGUAGGGGAGCGUUGUGUAAGCUGAUGAAGGUGUGUUGAGAAGCAUGCUGGAGGUAUCACAAGUGCGAAUGCUGACAUGAGUAACGAUAAUGCGGGUGAAAAACCCGCACACCGAAAACCCAAGGUUUCCUGCGCAACGCUAAUCGGCGCAGGGUGAGUCGGCCCCUAAGGCGAGGCGGAAACGCGUAGUCGAUGGGAAACAGGUUAAUAUUCCUGUACUGAUCAUAAUUGCGAUGGGGGGACGGAGAAAGCUAGGCCAGCACACUGUUGGAUGUGUGUUUAAGCGCGUAGGUUGAAGACUUAGGCAAAUCCGGGUCUUUAAGACUGAAACGUGAUGACGAGUUUCUACGGAAACGAAGUGGUUGAUGCUCUGCUUCCAGGAAAAGCCUCUAAGCUUCAGAUUAUGACCAACCGUACCCCAAACCGACACAGGUGGGUAGGAAGAGAAUUCCAAGGUGCUUGAGAGAACUCGGGUAAAGGAACUCGGCAAAAUGAUACCGUAACUUCGGGAGAAGGUAUGCCUCUGAUGGUGAAUAGCUGUUGGAGGCCGCAGAGAAUAGGCCGCUGCGACUGUUUAACAAAAACACAGCACUCUGCAAACACGAAAGUGGACGUAUAGGGUGUGACGCCUGCCCGGUGCCGGAAGGUUAAGUGAUGGGGUGCAAGCUCUUGAUCGAAGCCCCGGUAAACGGCGGCCGUAACUAUAACGGUCCUAAGGUAGCGAAAUUCCUUGUCGGGUAAGUUCCGACCUGCACGAAUGGCGUAACGAUGGCGGCGCUGUCUCUACCCGAGACUCAGUGAAGUUGAAAUCGCUGUGAAGAUGCAGUGUACCCGCGGCAAGACGGAAAGACCCCGUGAACCUUCACUAUAGCUUGACACUGAACAUUGAAACAAGUUGCAUAGGAUAGGUGGGAGGCUAAGAAACAGAGACUCAGGUUUCUGUGGAGCCAACCUUGAAAUACCACCCUGCUUGUUUUGAUGUUCUAACGUAGACCCGUAAUCCGGGUUGCAGACAGUGUCUGGUGGGUAGUUUGACUGGGGCGGUCUCCUCCCAAAGAGUAACGGAGGAGCACGAAGGUUUGCUAAUCACGGUCGGACAUCGUGAGGUUAGUGCAAUGGUAUAAGCAAGCUUAACUGCGAGACAGACAAGUCGAGCAGGUACGAAAGUAGGUCAUAGUGAUCCGGUGGUUCUGAAUGGAAGGGCCAUCGCUCAACGGAUAAAAGGUACUCCGGGGAUAACAGGCUGAUU
rnacentral:rRNA from 1 species